ACUCCUACGGNGAGGCAGCAGUGGGGAAUUUUGCGCAAUGGGGGAAACCCUGACGCAGCAACGCCGCGUGGGUGAUGAAGGCCUUCGGGUCGUAAAGCUCUGUCUGGAGGGAAGAAAUGAUUGGGAGCUAAUACCUCUUGAUCUUGACGGUACCUCUGAAGGAAGCACCGGCUAACUCCGUGCCAGCAGCCGCGGUAAU
rnacentral:rRNA from 1 species